UGUCUAUAUCAGGUUUAAAACACCAGUUCCCAUACAACCACCAAAGUUAAGCAACAUCAAGCCUGGUCAGUUCAUAGACAGGUGACUGCUUGGGAAUACUGAGUACUGUAAG